rnacentral:lncRNA from 1 species
CCGACAUAUUUACAAAAUUCUUGAGUGAAGAUAGAUUCUGCACGCUAAGGAGGGAAUUAGGCAUAUGUGAUCCUUUUUAUUGAAGAAAUAUAAAAGGGAGCAAGUAGUCUCAUGAUACAUUCCUUCAAUUUCAAAAAACCCAUGAAACAUGAGUCAUACUUGUUAUCUAUAGAUUCCUUACUCAUGUAUCAUUGUUCCAGAAAGAAUUUAUAAGGAUUGGAAGCAAGGAAAAUUUUUAGAAGCAAAAAGGAAGAGAAAAGAAAAAUUCUGCACUUGGGUCAACCCAACCCAGAAUAGGGUCGACCCAACGUUGAGUC